rnacentral:lncRNA from 1 species
GAUCGUCAUGAUUUUAUUUCAGUCAUCUUUAAGAUGUGGGUUUGUAAGUUGAAAAUCCCGUUGGAGCCAAAAUAACCCCCCAAGAAAAAAGAAGGAAAAAAAAUUUUUUUUUUUUCUCAAUCCGUUACCAUGUCUCACUACCACUUUAAUGAUAUUAGUAGAAAGAGAAUUGAAAUCCUUGAAUUCUUACUUAGUGACUUGUCUUUUUGCAGGGUGCAUCAGGUAUUAUUUUCCCUAUUAUAAGAGCAGAGGGAGUGAGGCAAAUGUUCUUCCCUGCCACUGUUCCUGCAAUAUAUAGACCUCCUCCUGUUAAAGAUUCAUCCGAUGAUACUCAAAAGUCAAGGUAACUUACCACUUUAAUGAUAUUAGUAGAAAGAGAAUUGAAAUCCUUGAAUUCUUACUUAGUGACUUGUCUUUUUGCAGGGUGCAUCAGGUAUUAUUUUCCCUAUUAUAAGAGCAGAGGGAGUGAGGCAAAUGUUCUUCCCUGCCACUGUUCCUGCAAUAUAUAGACCUCCUCCUGUUAAAGAUUCAUCCGAUGAUACUCAAAAGUCAAGGUAACUUUGGCGUUGUCGUCAUACGUGCUAGUUCUCAUUUCUUAGUUUUGGAUUGACUUACAUAGACGGGUCCAUAC